rnacentral:rRNA from 1 species
UACAGAGGGGGCCAGCGUUAUUCGGAAUUAUUGGGCGUAAAGGCGCGUAGGCGGCCAUGCGUGUCUUCCGUGAAAUCCCUCAGCUUAACUGGGGAACUGCGUCUGAUACUGGAUGGCUUGGAUUCGGGAGAGGAAUGCGGAAUUCCAGGUGUAGCGGUGAAAUGCGUAGAUAUCUGGAGGAACACCGGUGGCGAAGGCGGCAUUCUGGACCGAUAUUGACGCUGAGGAGCGAAAGCCAGGGGAGCAAACGGGG